rnacentral:lncRNA from 1 species
CAAGCUCUGGCAAAUUACCUAAAGAUGAUGGGAUAGGACCUACUAAACAGUUAUGGGAGAGGUUUAGGACAAUAAGUAAAUGAAGCUCACCAAGUAUUUUUGGAAUUUCUCCCCUGAAUUGGUUACUAGAAAGGUCAAUAACCGUCCAAAUGGAUAAUAGUAAUUCAAACUUUAUUUCCACUCCUUUUGCUGUAACAGAUAAACCAUAAGCAUAAUUCAACUCAAAUGGGUCACCUAUCAUGUAAUUUGGUUCAACUUUCUUUCCAUACUCAUCUCUAAUGGCAUGCAUAUGCUCAAAAAAAAGAGUAGGUAAGUAGCCACUGAAAUUAUUGUGAGAAAGAUCAAUGAUUUGCAAUUUAGUUAAAGAAACUGUAAUAUCAAAGCUCUCUAUUUGGCCGUAAAAUCUAUUCGACCUCAAGAUAAGAACUUGCAGCUGAUCCAAAUUUCCUAACCAACUUGGGAAAGUGUCAUUCAAAUUGUUGUUUCCAACAUCGAGAAGAUUUAAAGCUUUGCAAUUACCCAACGAUCGUGGUAGUGACCCUUCUAAUUCAUUGUUGUUGAUGUUUAAACUUCUCAACAUGCAACCUUUAGCAAAAUUUUCUGGUAUUUGACCAUGAAAAUUAUUAUUCCCUAGAAAAACUGCUGUGAGAGAAGAACUCAAGUUUCCGAUGCACUUUGGAAUUGUUCCCUCCAAAUUAUUCUCAUCUAAAGCCAUAGCCACAAGGGAAGUCAAAUUGCAUAUUGAAGAAGGGAUUUCUCCAAUUAAGUUAUUAGUUGAAACUCCAUACAAUUGCAAUAAAGGUGGUGGUGUUGGAAUUCGACCUUAGAGAUAAAAUUAAAAAUGAGAUAGAAUUAGGAGUUUGAAGAUUCUUUGGAAUAAAAAUUAUAAAAUAGCUAUAUUUAUGAUGUAUUACAUGCAUGAUUAAUUUACUACACUAUCACAACAACUUUUAAGUUGUAAUCUAUUGAAGGAAACUACUACCAUCUUCUAGAGAAAUUUUUAUUUCUCUUACUUAAAAGUAAAAUGGGAUUGCGUAAAUGUAUAAAAAAUAGAAGGAAAAAAAAUAUCAAACUAUACCUAAUAGUUUAUUAUAAAAGAGAUAACCAUUUAAUAUCUUACUUAUAUUUCAUUUUUUAGUGUUUAUUAUUAUUUUUUGUACUUUUAUGUAUAUUUUAUAAUUUAUUAUCGGGGUUCACGGUUGUUACUGUCAAGAAUAUCAUCUCUAAGACUUGAAUCUUGUUUUCCCCUUAAGAGAGUAAUAUAUUUUACCACUGCACUGAAUAUUUAUUGGUGUAGUAUUUAUUAUAACUACAAAUAAUUUUAAUUAUCUUUUUAUGAACCUCUAAGUUAGAGGUCAAAUAAAAAAGUAAAUUAAUUGAUGUAGUGUUUAAAUUUUUAUCAUUAUUUUCUAUAUUUGUUUAUUUUUUAUUUUUUUAAAUAUAUAUUUAAACUUUGCAAAAUGAAUGGAUAUAUUUGAACAUGAAACAUGAUACAAUAAUUUAGUGAGAAUGAAAUAAAAUAAUGGUGGAAAAAUGAUAUGAUGACAUUAAACGGAAAAUAAGCGAAUGAAUAAAUAAGUAAAUAAAGGAGAAUAAGAAGAUAAAGACCAAAAACAAUUGCUAUGCCAAUUGUUGAAACUAAUUUUUUUGAAAAAAAGUGGAUCUGACUUAUAUUUUGAAAAAAGAAAAGAAAAUGGAGUCGCCACCAAUCUUUUUAUUUGGGUGUGAUUGGAUCACCUCAUAAUUAAAUCAUUUUAAUAAAAAUUUAAAUUUACUAAAACGAUAAUUUUUGGUCUUAUAAAAUCCAAAAAAGGGUUCGGGAGUCGGUUACGCAUGAGGAAGGGUUAGCACCCUCAACACGCCCAAAAUUGAUACCUUAUUUUAAAAUAAGAUCAUUGUAUUAAAAAAACUUAUAUAAAUCAAAUUACACGUUAAGACCCUUCCAUUUCGGAGAGAGAAAAUGUCACACCCAAUGGGUUAGGGCAUGAUAUUUCACAUCCUCAAAAAUGAGCUUGUCAUUUAAAAAACUCAUGCAAUGAAAUUUAAAAUGAUAUUCAAUUGUUUAAGUCAGAUGAAGAAAUCGAAGCCCAAUACGUUAGGGCCCAAUUUCUCAAAAUUCCAAACAUUGAAUACUGCCUUUAUUAUUUUUUAGAAAAACCCUCAUCUCAAGAAAACAACAUGUCAUAUCCAAUGCGUUAGGACACAACGUAUCGAAUUCCCGAUAAUGAGCUUUUUAUUUAUGUGUUUUGAUGAAUGAAUAUUCUUGAUUAUUUGAAUUCAACGAGGAAAAUUGGAACCCAAUACAUUAGGGAUCAAUCCUCUCGAAGAUCCAAAUACCGAAUAUUGUGUUAUCUUGAAAGCUUUUGAAUAAAAUGAUUCCCAAAACUUAAACCAUAUUAAAAAUAAUUUUUGAGCAAAUAAAGAAUGAUGGAAAUGAUAAUAUGCAAUACGAAGUAAUAAUUCGUAAACCAAAAAAAGUACUCUAAUGGAUGACAAAUAAUCGAUAAGUACAAAUAAGUAAUACAAUACACAUAAGGGCAAUAAUCUCACAAUGCAUGUUGUUUUAAUGUCGAUAUUUAACAAUCAAGAAAAAUGAAACAAAAUAAUAUAUAUAGAACAAUUUGAAGUAACUAGUAUAAAACAAUUUAAAGUAAAUAAUAUGCAACAUAAAUAAAGACAUGCAAAGCAAAAAUAAAUAACAUAGAAGACGAUUUUAAAAUAAUAUAUAAAAAGUUGAAAACAAAUAAUACGUAAAAAGAAAAUUUCAAACAAAGGAUAUACAAAACAAUUUCUUUUAAAAAAAUGAUAUAUGAAAACAAUUCCAAAUAAAUAAUAUAAAAAAAUAAAAUGGAUAAUAGUUUAUAUGGUUUGAAAUGUUUAACAUGUGAAAAACUUAAAAUAAAUAAUAAAAUAAAUAAAUAAUACAUGAGGAAAAGUAUUGAAUAAAAAAAUUGCAAAAUAAAUCGAAAUCAACAGAUUUGGGACUAAUUUGGGAUGAAAAUGAAAUUUAAAGGCAUAAAUUACAAAUGAAAGGAAACGGGGGCCAACUAAAGUGCGCCGAAAAAGGGCGAGGACCAGAUGGGGAAUUAUUCCCUAUCUCAAAACGACACUGUUUAAGGUGUUUUUCCUUUUAAAAUGGUCUAAGGACCAAAUUGGGAGAAAAAUGAAAAUUUGUGGCUAAAUCAAAAAAUAAAAAAGAGAUAGGACCCAAUUGUAAUCAACCUUAAAAGCUGAAGGACUAGGGGCGCGAAUAGCCCCUUUGUCCAAAAACACUUGGAUCCUAAGCGGUUCGGGUCGGGUCAGUCCGAUCCAUGUCUAAACGACGUCGUUUUGGGGCUUUCUGAACCCCUCAUUUACAAACAAUUUAUCAUGGCUUUUAUAGCCAUUUUACAAGAUUUUUUUAAUUCAUUUAUUGUCACUUCUUGCAGGCAAAUGAUUGCUUAAUUUACUUCGUAACUUCUUACAUUUAGACAUAAUAAUGAGGUUUUAAUCUUUUAAGAACUUUUAUUUUAUUUACUUAAAAAUUGCAUAAAUUUAAUAAAAAAAAAGGAGAAUAAAAGAAAAAUGAAAUUAUACCUGUCAAUUUGUUAUAGCUAAGAUAAAGUGAUUGGAGAGAUGUCAAGUUUCCAAUAACAAGAGGAAUUUCACCUGAAAUGUAUAAUUAAAUCGGUCAAAAUUUGUAAAUAUUUUCCUACCAAGCCCUUAAUUUAUUUGUUGAGCAUAUUAGUGUCUGUUUGAUUUACCUAUUUUUAAAUAUGCAAGUUUUGUUUAGUUUUAUAGUACUUGUGACAACCCAAAAAUAUUUUAAUUAUAAUACUCGAAUUUAUAGUUGAAAUGAUGAUGACAAUUAGAAGGAAUAAAAUAGUUCACGCUUAAUAGUUUUGCUCAAAUAUAGGAUACAUCAUCGAAGCUGAACAAAUAUAUAUAUUUUUAGAAACUUUUAUUAGUUAGCAGUGAUUAGCUAAUGUCAAACAACUGAUACUAUUGCAUAUAAUAUGUUUCCCUAAACUGUAUACUAUUUAUCUCUCGCCACAAAUUAUCAAAAACACAUGUGCAUUUUAAGCCAAACAUUUAUAAUAAAGAUAAGAGCCGUAUUGACACAAUUUUUUGCUAAGGAAUCAGCAAACACACACCCAUAACUGCACAUAUAGACACACAUAUAUCUGCACAUACAGAAUACUAGAACCCAAAAAUGUCGCUAGAACCCAGAUAUAGUCUAGGUGAGAAGGGACUAAGGAGUUGAACAGUAAAGAAACUAGUAAGAACUCACAUGAUAAUGAGCUUGUUGUAACCAGAAUACAAAGAUUGGGGCAGAGUCAAGUUUCCAAUUUCUAUAGGCAUAAUUCCCUCCAAAGAGUUGUUAUGCAACGAUAAAUACUUCAACUCUUUACACUUGAAUAAGCUAUUUGAAAUUCUACUAAAAUUUGAUUAUGUGUGAAGCUUAAUUAUUGCAAUUUAGAAAUGUUAUCAAACAUCUAGAUAGUAGAUGACCUAUAAUGAGAUGAUUAGUUUUGAAACUAUUUUUUUAUUGGUGAAAAGAUAUAUAAGAUUUACACAUGUAAGGAGCCUGAAUAAGAAUUAUUAUGAAAAUAUAACUAAAUGAAGCUUGAAAAGAUAUAUAAGAUUUACAGUAUAGUGCCGCAUUCGGUACUUUUUGGAGUGUAGGGAUGGGUGGGUUGAUUAUAUCCCCACAUGAAGUAUAGGGUUGGACGAAGAUGGUGUGUAGAGGCUAGCUGGGUAGGAUUUGUAUACUGCAUAAUCCGUUACUGCACUGAUUGCUGAUAUUGUAAUAAGCCAAGGCCCAAAUGAAUGAUUACUUCUGUACUGAAAUAGGCUAAAGCCCAAACUGAUAUUGUCACUGAUACUGAAAAGGGCGUAGGCCCAAACUGAGUUUAUUAUGCUUACUGUCUGGUUAUUUUUGUAUAUUGUAUGCUUGUUUGCAUGGGGAAUUACGAGUUUUGAAAACUCACCCCUUUUGUUAAUUUGUACAGGUAAUCCCUACUCAUAGGCGGAUUGACGCGGCAGAGGACUCAGCGGUGGCCACACGACUCUUUUUUUUACUGUUUCGUAUUUAAUUACAUUCAUUUUUAAAGCUUUAUUGGGGUUUUUAUCUGUAAUAACGGCCGCUAUGAAUUUUUGCUUUAUGUUUGGAUUUAACACUACUUUAUGUUUUAUAUCUUCUAGAGGUAGAUAAAACACGAUUUUUAAAAGAAAUGCAUGUGUUUUAGCAAAAUACCCACAAUGACACAAGCUGUUUUAAAAAGCUUCCACAACGUAUAAUGUUUUGCAAACUAACGAUUGAUUAAAAAUCACUAUUUUAGGAUUAAUAAAGUUAACGAAGAGAUCUAAACAGAAAAUGUUUUAAGCAAAGUUACGGUGUUUUUCAACAUGAGCUUCGGUUUUCAAACACACUACCAUGUGACACCGCCAGAUUCAACCAUAAUGUCUAGGCCGAUUUGGGGUUUUACAUCUAUUAUGGUGUGUAGUAGAGUUGGGUAGGAUGUUUUCUAAUAAAUCUGCAUUCUAAUCGAUGGUAAUUCAAGAAAUACUACACUGGAUAUUAAAUCCAAUAGUAUCAAGAAUCCACAUUUCACUAGUUUAAUAUUCAAACCAUCAUAUUUGUUAUAUUGAAUUUAAGUAAUUAGUAAUUCAAGUUAUUGAUAUUUUUCUUAUACCAAUAUUCUUAUAUUUUUCUAAUUUCAAAGUAGUUAAAGGAUUAAAUGUGUAAUUAAUUGUUUUUAAGCCAAAAGUGUUAUAAUAAGAAGUUAAAAGAUUGUAAUUAAUUAGUAUUAUAUAGCGCGAUUGUAUUAUAAAUAGAAGAGACUGCAUAACAGUAACAACAAAAAAGAGAAUAAAGAUGAUAUUAUACCUGUUAAGUAAUUAGUAGAAAGAUCGAUGUCCGUGAGGGAAAUAAGGAAUUAGAUACAUUGGUCCCAUAAUAUGUCACUCAAAAUCUCAAAUUCAUCCAACAAAAAGAAAUCAUCACUUUAGUUAAUUAAAUCAAGAACAAAUAAAGUUAUGGAUGAACAAAUAUGGGAAGCAAAGAAAUGUGAUGGAUCAAAAGGGACGGAUAAGCUAAUUUCUGCCAUAAGGUAGAUGGUGAACUUAGGAUGUGGAGUUUCAAUAAAUACCUAAAAAUACCUAAACUUUUGGCAAUUCAAAUAGAUUAUACUAAUUUUUAAUUACUUAAAAAUAUUGCAUAAAUUUAAUAACAAAAAGGAGAAUAAAAGAAACAUGAAAUUAUACCUGUCAAUUUGUUAUUGCUAAGAGAAAGGUAUUGGAGAGAAGUCAAGUUUCCAAUAACAAGAGGAAUUUUACCUGAAACAUAUAAUUAAAUCAAUAAAUAUAUAAUUAUUUUUAUUAAUUAUUUUAAGAGUUUAAUAAGGCAAAUCUAAAAGGUAGAAGAAAUAGCUAAUUAGAAGUAGUGUGUGAUUCAAAAGGGUAUAAAGUAGGUCCAAAUUAAAAAUCAAAUUUUAAAAUAAUUUAAUGUAAAAUUUAACUCUUUUCUUAUCACCAAAUAAAUUUACUUUCAGAGAAAUUACAAGUUUUAAUAAAAUAGUUGAAAUAAGUGAUUGUUUAUGACUAGGUGAAAAUUAGAUGAAAAAAACAUAUAAUUAAUAAUUUAUAUAUCUAUUUCUCUCAUACUAUGGACUAUGGUCGAGCAAAAAUUAAUAAAAAAAUCAAACGGAUAGAAAUAGCUUAGUUACAAGAUUGAUGUUAAUCCAAUAAAUUUUUAAAAAAAAACACAUUGUUUCCAAAAGGGUAAGAAAUAGGUCCAAAUUAUAAUUCAGAACAUAAAUUAAUUUAAUGUAAAAUUUAAAUAAAAUUUAAAAUUCUUUCAUUAUCAAAUAAAUUUUCUUAAUAAAAUACUUUUAGUGAAUUAAUUAGAAGUCUUACUUAUUAACAAUAAAAAAAAUAUUUAUCCUUGUGCCAGAAAAAAACACCGCAUAGAUCAUAAAAAGGAAAAACUAAAACAUCCAUAAAACCACUAAACACAAAAUUCAUAGUUGUAGAGGAGGAUUAGAUACAUUGGUCCCAUAAUAUGUCACUCAAAAUCUCAAAUUCAUCCAACAAAAAGAAAUCAUCACUUUAGUUAAUUAAAUCAAGAACAAAUAAAGUCAAAAUCUCAAAUUCAUCCAACAAAAAGAAAUCAUCACUUUAGUUAAUUAAAUCAAGAACAAAUAAAGUUAUGGAUGAACAAAUAUGGGAAGCAAAGAAAUGUGAUGGAUCAAAAGGGACGGAUAAGCUAAUUUCUGCCAUAAGGUAGAUGGUGAACUUAGGAUGUGGAGUUUCAAUAAAUACCUAAAAAUACCUAAACUUUUGGCAAUUCAAAUAGAUUAUACUAAUUUUUAAUUACUUAAAAAUAUUGCAUAAAUUUAAUAACAAAAAGGAGAAUAAAAGAAACAUGAAAUUAUACCUGUCAAUUUGUUAUUGCUAAGAGAAAGGUAUUGGAGAGAAGUCAAGUUUCCAAUAACAAGAGGAAUUUUACCUGAAACAUAUAAUUAAAUCAAUAAAUAUAUAAUUAUUUUUAUUAAUUAUUUUAAGAGUUUAAUAAGGCAAAUCUAAAAGGUAGAAGAAAUAGCUAAUUAGAAGUAGUGUGUGAUUCAAAAGGGUAUAAAGUAGGUCCAAAUUAAAAAUCAAAUUUUAAAAUAAUUUAAUGUAAAAUUUAACUCUUUUCUUAUCACCAAAUAAAUUUACUUUCAGAGAAAUUACAAGUUUUAAUAAAAUAGUUGAAAUAAGUGAUUGUUUAUGACUAGGUGAAAAUUAGAUGAAAAAAAACAUAUAAUUAAUAAUUUAUAUAUCUAUUUCUCUCAUACUAUGGACUAUGGUCGAGCAAAAAUUAAUAAAAAAAUCAAACGGAUAGAAAUAGCUUAGUUACAAGAUUGAUGUUAAUCCAAUAAAUUUUUAAAAAAAAACACAUUGUUUCCAAAAGGGUAAGAAAUAGGUCCAAAUUAUAAUUCAGAACAUAAAUUAAUUUAAUGUAAAAUUUAAAUAAAAUUUAAAAUUCUUUCAUUAUCAAAUAAAUUUUCUUAAUAAAAUACUUUUAGUGAAUUAAUUAGAAGUCUUACUUAUUAACAAUAAAAAAAAUAUUUAUCCUUGUGCCAGAAAAAAACACCGCAUAGAUCAUAAAAAGGAAAAACUAAAACAUCCAUAAAACCACUAAACACAAAAUUCAUAGUUGUAGAGGAGGAUUAGAUACAUUGGUCCCAUAAUAUGUCACUCAAAAUCUCAAAUUCAUCCAACAAAAAGAAAUCAUCACUUUAGUUAAUUAAAUCAAGAACAAAUAAAGUCAAAAUCUCAAAUUCAUCCAACAAAAAGAAAUCAUCACUUUAGUUAAUUAAAUCAAGAACAAAUAAAGUUAUGGAUGAACAAAUAUGGGAAGCAAAGAAAUGUGAUGGAUCAAAAGGGACGGAUAAGCUAAUUUCUGCCAUAAGGUAGAUGGUGAACUUAGGAUGUGGAGUUUCAAUAAAUACCUAAAAAUACCUAAACUUUUGGCAAUUCAAAUAGAUUAUACUAAUUUUUAAUUACUUAAAAAUAUUGCAUAAAUUUAAUAACAAAAAGGAGAAUAAAAGAAACAUGAAAUUAUACCUGUCAAUUUGUUAUUGCUAAGAGAAAGGUAUUGGAGAGAAGUCAAGUUUCCAAUAACAAGAGGAAUUUUACCUGAAACAUAUAAUUAAAUCAAUAAAUAUAUAAUUAUUUUUAUUAAUUAUUUUAAGAGUUUAAUAAGGCAAAUCUAAAAGGUAGAAGAAAUAGCUAAUUAGAAGUAGUGUGUGAUUCAAAAGGGUAUAAAGUAGGUCCAAAUUAAAAAUCAAAUUUUAAAAUAAUUUAAUGUAAAAUUUAACUCUUUUCUUAUCACCAAAUAAAUUUACUUUCAGAGAAAUUACAAGUUUUAAUAAAAUAGUUGAAAUAAGUGAUUGUUUAUGACUAGGUGAAAAUUAGAUGAAAAAAAACAUAUAAUUAAUAAUUUAUAUAUCUAUUUCUCUCAUACUAUGGACUAUGGUCGAGAAAAAAUUAAUAAAAAAAUCAAACGGAUAGAAAUAGCUUAGUUACAAGAUUGAUGUUAAUCCAAUAAAUUUUUAAAAAAAAACACAUUGUUUCCAAAAGGGUAAGAAAUAGGUCCAAAUUAUAAUUCAGAACAUAAAUUAAUUUAAUGUAAAAUUUAAAUAAAAUUUAAAAUUCUUUCAUUAUCAAAUAAAUUUUCUUAAUAAAAUACUUUUAGUGAAUUAAUUAGAAGUCUUACUUAUUAACAAUAAAAAAAAUAUUUAUCCUUGUGCCAGAAAAAAACACCGCAUAGAUCAUAAAAAGGAAAAACUAAAACAUCCAUAAAACCACUAAACACAAAAUUCAUAGUUGUAGAGGAGGAUUAGAUACAUUGGUCCCAUAAUAUGUCACUCAAAUUCAUCCAACAAAAAGAAAUCAUCACUUUAGUUAAUUAAAUCAAGAACAAAUAAAGUUAUGGAUGAACAAAUAUGGGAAGCAAAGAAAUGUGAUGGAUCAAAAGGGACGGAUAAGCUAAUUUCUGCCAUAAGGUAGAUGGUGAACUUAGGAUGUGGAGUUUCAAUAAAUACCUAAAAAUACCUAAACUUUUGGCAAUUCAAAUAGAUUAUACUAAUUUUUAAUUACUUAAAAAUAUUGCAUAAAUUUAAUAACAAAAAGGAGAAUAAAAGAAACAUGAAAUUAUACCUGUCAAUUUGUUAUUGCUAAGAGAAAGGUAUUGGAGAGAAGUCAAGUUUCCAAUAACAAGAGGAAUUUUACCUGAAACAUAUAAUUAAAUCAAUAAAUAUAUAAUUAUUUUUAUUAAUUAUUUUAAGAGUUUAAUAAGGCAAAUCUAAAAGGUAGAAGAAAUAGCUAAUUAGAAGUAGUGUGUGAUUCAAAAGGGUAUAAAGUAGGUCCAAAUUAAAAAUCAAAUUUUAAAAUAAUUUAAUGUAAAAUUUAACUCUUUUCUUAUCACCAAAUAAAUUUACUUUCAGAGAAAUUACAAGUUUUAAUAAAAUAGUUGAAAUAAGUGAUUGUUUAUGACUAGGUGAAAAUUAGAUGAAAAAAACAUAUAAUUAAUAAUUUAUAUAUCUAUUUCUCUCAUACUAUGGACUAUGGUCGAGCAAAAAUUAAUAAAAAAAUCAAACGGAUAGAAAUAGCUUAGUUACAAGAUUGAUGUUAAUCCAAUAAAUUUUUUAAAAAAAACACAUUGUUUCCAAAAGGGUAAGAAAUAGGUCCAAAUUAUAAUUCAGAACAUAAAUUAAUUUAAUGUAAAAUUUAAAUAAAAUUUAAAAUUCUUUCAUUAUCAAAUAAAUUUUCUUAAUAAAAUACUUUUAGUGAAUUAAUUAGAAGUCUUACUUAUUAACAAUAAAAAAAAUAUUUAUCCUUGUGCCAGAAAAAAACACCGCAUAGAUCAUAAAAAGGAAAAACUAAAACAUCCAUAAAACCACUAAACACAAAAUUCAUAGUUGUAGAGGAGGAUUAGAUACAUUGGUCCCAUAAUAUGUCACUCAAAAUCUCAAAUUCAUCCAACAAAAAGAAAUCAUCACUUUAGUUAAUUAAAUCAAGAACAAAUAAAGUUAUGGAUGAACAAAUAUGGGAAGCAAAGAAAUGUGACGGAUCAAAAGGGACGAAUAAGCUAAUUUCUGCCAUAAGGUAGAUGGUGAACUUAGGAUGUGGAGUUCCAAUAAAUACCUAAACAUACCUAAACUUUUGGCCAUUCAAAUAGAUUAGAUUAAUUUUUAAUUACUUAAAAAUAUUGCAUAAAUUUAAUAACAAAAUGGAGAAUAAAAGAAACAUGAAAUUAUACCUGUCAAAUUGUUAUUUCUAAGAUAAAGAAAUUGGAGAGAAGUCAAGUUUCCAAUAACAAGAGGAAUUUCACCUGAAACGUAUAAUUAAAUCAUCACUUUAGUUAAUUAAAGCAAGAACAAAUAAAGUUUUGGAUGAACAAAUAUGAGAAGCAAAGAAAAAUGAUGGAUCAAAAGUGACGAAUAAGCUAAUUUCUGCCAUAAGGUAGAUGAUGAACUUAGGAUGUGGAAUUCCAAUAAAUUCCUAAACAUACCUAAACUUUUGGCCAUUCAAAAUCAAAUUCUAGUGGUUAAAAUUAUGAAAUGAGUAAUUAUUAUUUUUACAGCAAAAAAUGUGAGUAUAUAAAGAAAAAUAAAAAUAAAAAUGUAGAGCAAUAUAAAAAGAAGUUUUAAGGUAAGUAGGUUUGUUAUUUUUAAGAAUAAUAGUAAAGCAGGACAUUUGGUUUUGCUUAUAUAAGAAGUUGGUUCAUGCAUAGGGAUGUCAUAUUACCCAUGUUUGCAUUUAAAUAUUUGUAUUAAGAAAUAUUUUAUUUGAAAGAGUUUAAUAAUUUUAAGCUGUCUAAUAAUAAAUAAAUUAGUCUAAGAAAAAAUAAAGCAUCUCAAAAUAUAUGUCUUAUACCAAUAUUCUUAUAGUUGUCUAAUUUCAAAGUAGUUAAAGGAUUAAACGUGUAAUUAAUUGUAUUUUUAAAACGACAGUUAUUUUAUUUUCUAUAUUUGUUUAUUUUUUAUUUUUUUAAAUAUAUAUUUAAACUUUGCAAAAUGAAUGGAUAUAUUUGAACAUGAAACAUGAUACAAUAAUUUAGUGAGAAUGAAAUAAAAUAAUGGUGGAAAAAUGAUAUGAUGACAUUAAACGGAAAAUAAGCGAAUGAAUAAAUAAGUAAAUAAAGGAGAAUAAGAAGAUAAAGACCAAAAACAAUUGCUAUGCUAAUGAAUAAUAUCAAUAUUUCUAUGAUGAUAACAAAACAACGAUUAAACGAUAAUCAUGUUGUGGUUAUUAUCUUAGUAUUACAUUGAAUAAAUAAUAAUGACAAGAACAAAGAAUAAAAUAGAAUAAUAUGUGCAAAUGAAUAAUAUAGACAAAGAUAAAAUAUAUAAAUUUUAAAUACUAAAUAAAUGAUAUAGUAAAUAAAUAAGCAAAAUUAAUCGAAAUACAAAGUAAAUUGGAACUCAAGCAAAGUUUAAAACUCAUAUCGCAAAAUAAAUGAGGGAAAGGGACCACAAAUAUACAAAUAAAAUGAAAAUAAAUAUAAAUUUUAAAUAUAUAAAAAAUAAAUAAAAAAAAGAAAUAACGAAUAAAUGACUAAAUAAAUAGAUAAGACAAAUAUAAAAAAAUAUUAAAUUUAAGUGUUUAAAAAUUAAAAGAAUGAUAAACAAAUAAAUAAAUAAAUUUAAGUAUUUGCAAUUCAAAUUGAUGAUAUUUUUCUUAUUCUUAUGCUUUUCUAAUUUCAAAGUACUUAAAGGAUUAAAUGUGUAAUUAAUAGUUUUUAAGCCAAAAGUAUUAUAGUAAAAAGUUAAAAGAUUGUAAAGUUAUUUAGUAAUAUAUAGCACGAUUCUGUUAUAAGUAUUAUAACAGUACCAACAAAAAGGAAAAUAAAGAUGAUAUUAUAUCUGUUAAGUUGUUAUAAAAAAGAAUGAUGAUCACGAGAGAAAUAAGGUUUCCAAUAACAGAUGAAAUUUCACUUAAAAUCAUUAAAAUUUACUAACAGAUCUUAAAAUCGUUAAAACUCAAUGCGGGUAGGUAUAAGUCUGAAACAUAUAAUAUCAACUAUGUACUCUGUAAUCAAAGUUAAUUAAGAGAAAUCAUAUACUCUAUUUCUUUCCUAUUCAAGAAUAUCAACACAUAAAUAAUAAGGAUAGAAAAAAAUAGGUAAUUACAAGUCUUGUGUGAUUCAAAAGGGUAUAAAGUAGGUCCUAAUUACAAAUCAAACCUUAAAUUAAUUUAAUGUAAAAUUUAACUCUUUUCUUAUCACCAAAUAAAUCUACUUUUAGUAAAUUAGGAGUUUUAAUAAAAUACUUGUAAUAAAAGAUUGUUUAUGACUAAGUGUUUUGUUUUCAACAUAUUUGGAAUUAACUUGCCUUAGAAAAACAGUCUCUAUUAUUUUUAAGAAUAUAUUAUAAAAGCAAGAUAUGCCACUUAGAGAAGUUUCUUUAAGUAUUUUUUCUCGGCCAAAAUAAAAGGGUUAUUGUUUAAAGUCCCGUUUCAUUACUUAAAACAAUUGUUGAUGGAAAUUGGAUAAAAAUGAAUGAAACAAUAACCAAGAAUUGUUUACCUUUGAAAUGGUUGUUACUAAGAGCCAAAGUCUCGAGCAAAGUCAAAUUUCCAAUUUCUGUAGGUAUACUUCCAUCCAAGGAGUUGUAACCCAAUGAUAAAAACUUCAGCUCUUUGCACUUGAAUAAACUAUUUGGAAUUCUACCGGAAAUUUGAUUCCCACCCAAGCCCAACCUUUCUAGUUUUGACAAAUUGCCUAGAGUAGAUGGGAUAACACCAACGAAGUUGUUAAGGUACAAAGACAAUCUUUGAAGUUUUUUUGGUGUUUAAGGGCAGCAGCAAGCUAGUUUGCACUUGCUUGGACAACAAGUGUCGAGCCUUGCUGAAGACACUAUCGAAGAAGAAGAAAAUUUUGCAAUGGAAAAAAUAGGAAAGAAAGAGAUGAUUUGAAUGAAAAUUGAGCUGAAUUUUCAUUAAUUUUCACAAGAGGCAUAAUGCCAAUACAUAUAUGAGAUAACAACAGCAAAACAAACAAGUUACCACCUAAUAACAUACCUAACACCACUAAUUUGCCUAGUAACUUGGUAAACUUGUUUGAACACAAAACAAGCCACCUAAACUUGUCAUUCAGCACCUAAUUACAUCAAAAUGCAACUACCAACUAAGUUCAAAACAAACUAAAAUACAAAGAGUUCAUUUGAGUAACUAAAUGAAACAAAGCAGUUUCGGUUUGCUGCUUGGAGCACGUUGCUUGCAUUGCCACUUUUGCUGCUGCAUGGGGGCUGACUUCAACACUCCUCCUCAGCUUCUAUGCUGCAGACUCCUAAUUGCUUUCUUAAGCUUAGAAAUCUCGAUGUACCAAGUGAUUUUGUGAAAAUAUCGGUAAUCUGAUUUUCAGAGUUGCAGUGAAUCAGCUCGAUCUCUCGGGCUUGUUCCAUUUCUCUUAUCACAUGCAACUUAAUGUUGAAGUGUUUUGUCCUGCCAUAGAAGACAGGAUUUUUAGCAAUAGCGACUGCUGAUUUGUUGUCACAGUAAAUCUCAGUUGCUCCAUUUUGUUGUAGAUUCAAAUCAUUGAUAAUUUUUCUUAGCCACAUAGCUUGAUUAACAGCAUUAGUAGGUGCUACAUAUUCUGCUUGAGCUGUCGACUGAGCCACCAUUGUUUGUUUUCUUGAACUCCAACAAAUCAUACCUGAGCCAAGUGUAAAAGCAUAACUAGAAGUGCUCUUCAUAUCGUCUUUUGAACCAGCCCAAUCGCUGUCAGUGUAUCCAAUUAAUUUCAACUCCUCGACCCUUCUGAAAUGUAUUCCAUGGUUCAAGGUACCUUUGAUGUACCUCAGCACCCUUUUUCUGCUUUGUAAUGUUGCUGGUUACAACAAUGCAUGAAUCUUGACAGCAUGCUAACUGCAAAUAGAACAUCAGGUCUCGUUGCUGUCAAAUAUAGCAAAUAGCCAACAAGACUUCUGUAAUCUGUUUCAUAGACAGAUUCAUGAUCUUCUUUGCUCGAUAGUUUCAUGCCAACAGCCAUAGGUGUGCUAGUUGGCUUGCAGUUCUUCAUUGAAAAUUUGGCUAGGACCUUUGAAGCAAAUGAUUUCUGUCCCAAGAAGAUUCCUUCACCAGCUUGAUUAACUUCCAUUCCUAGGAAGUAUGUCAUCAACCCCACGUCUGACAUUUCAAACAUUUCCUUCAUUUUUGUUUUGAAAUCAGCUAACAUGAAUUUGUCUCCUCCAGGCACUAGAAGAUCAUCAACAUAGAGUGACACAAUGAGCUGUGUUUCAGCUCGAUUUCUUUUAACAUAGAGUGUUGGCUCGCUAGCACUCCUUUCAAAUCCAAAACCGAUCAGGUAUGAAUCAAUUUGAGCAUACCAGGCUCUAGGAGCCUGUUUUCUUAGCCUAUACACCAAAUGUUCUUUACAUGGCAUUGUGAAUCCUGGAGGUUGCUCGAUGUAUAUCUCCUCUUCCAAGGAUCCAUUGAGAAAUGCAGACUUCACAUCCAUUUGAUGGAUUGUCCACUGGUUCUGAGCAGCUUCAGCAACCAACAAUCUGAUUGUAUCGAGCCUGGCUACUGGAGCAAAUGUUUCCAUGUAGUCCAGACCAUAUCUCUGACUAAAACCCUUCAGAACCAAUCUGGCUUUCAGUUUGUUUAAGCUUCUAUAUGCAUUGUGCUUUACUCGAUAGACCCAUUUUACACCAAUGGUCUUUCUGUUAGCUAGCUUCUCAACCAACUCUCAUGUCUGGUUCUUCUCAAUCAUGUUGAUUUCAUCAACCAUAGCCUAUUUCCAGCCUUCAUCUGCCUCAGCCUCUUCAAAAUUGCUAGGUUCUGCUAUAGCAACCUGUGCCCUUUCAUAGAUUUCAUCCAAGGACCUUGUGCCUCUCACAGGCACAUCAUCAACAUCCAUUUCAGGACCAAGCUCCUCUUGAUUAGGCACCAGGUCUUCUGAAACUGCUUCUGGCUCAUUCUUCUCCCAAUUCCAGCAAGCCUUUUCAUCAAAGAUAACAUCUCUGCUUACCUGAACUUUGCUUGUCAAGGGAUCUAGAAUCUUACAGCCCUUUUUGACUGAGCUAUAACCUACUAGUACACCUGGUUGAGCCCUUUUUGAGAGCUUGUCCCUCCUUGCUGCUGGUAUUUGUGCAUAGCACAGGCAACCAAACACCUUCAGAUGUGCCAAGGAAGGCUUGAAUCCAAACCAAGCCUCGAAAGGUGUCUUGGAAGCAAGAGCUUUGGUGGGAAGCCUAUUCUGAAGGUAGAUAGCAUUGUUUACUACUUUAGCCCACAUGUUCUUGGACAUUUUCUUCUCAAACAGUAGGCAUCUGGCCAUAUCCAUCAGACUUCCGUUCUUUCUUUCAGAUACCCCAUUCUGCUGAGGUGUGUACACAUUUGUAAGCUGGUGUUUGAUGCCAGCAUCAUUGUAGAUGGGUUGGAACUGAGCUGAAGUGUAUUCAGUGCCAUUGUCUGAUCUUAUCAAUUUCAGCUUGCAACCUAUUUCUAUUUCUACAGCAGUUUUGAACUUCACAAACACUCGAGCUACCUCAGACUUGUGUUUCAAGAAGAAAAUCCAACAAAACCUUGUAAAAUCAUCAAUGAAGAGGAUGAAAUACCUAUUUUUGCUAAGUGAUUCAGUCCUCAUCAAGCCACAUACAUCAGAGUGCACCAGCUGCAGUCUUUCAGUAGCUCUCCAUGCUGCAUUUGUAGGAAAUGGCAAUCUUGCCUGUUUCCCCAUCUGGCAAACUUCACACACAUCAUCAUGCUCCACUGAGUUGGUGAAGUUCUCAGCCAAGCCCUCACUGGCCAUUCGAGCCAUUGACCUGAAGUUGGCAUGUCCAAGCCUUUGAUGCCAGAGCUUGGAAUCAUCUGUAGAGGCUGUGUAUGCUGACUUUGAGUCAUUUGGCCAAUGAACCUCAAAGCAUUUGUCAGUCAUUGUGAUUGUCAUAAGGCUUGAUCCACUUGGAUCAGCAAUGAGGCACUGUUUAUCCUUGAACACAACUGAAUAACCUUUCUCAAGCAGUUGAGCUAUGCUGAGAAGGUUUCUGUCAAUCUCAGGCACCAAUAGCACAUUUGGAAUGACUUUGUUGCCUGUAGGAGUACAUAUCAGCACCUCUCAUCUUCCUUUAGCCCUUAUGAACUGACAAUUUCCAACCUUGACCUUAGUUUUACAACUUCUAUCCAAGGUUUUAAACAAGGAGGCAUCUGGUGACAAGUGGUUAGUGCAACCACUGUCCAGUAACCAGUCGUUUGAACAUUUCUUCUCAGCAGCUAAGCAAGAAACAGCAAAGACUUGCUCUUCUUGGUCACUACUAUCUUCAGCCACUCGAGCUUCAACCUUUAGUUGUUGAAAUUGGCUCUGCCUUGGCUUGGUUCUAUUUUUGCAAACCUUUUCAACAUGGCAUUUCUUCUUGCAGUGUUGGCAUACUACAUCUAGUCUGAACCAGCAUCUAUCUUCUGGAUGUCCUGGCCUCUUGCAAUAUCUGCAGGGUUGGUCACUGCUCCUUGCAGCAUCAGGCUUAGGCCUGUUUUUCCAAGGCUUUUUGCCUCUAUGAGUAUUGAUGCUCGAGGCUUCUCUGGCCUUGGCUUGAAAUGCACCUUCCUGGUGAUCUUCAGCUCUGCUAGCUCUCCUUUGUUCCUGAGCAUAGAAAGUGUUAAUUAGCUUAGUCAAAGAGAUGCUAGCAAGGUCUCUUGAGUCCUCUAAGGAGGAUAUCUUUGCCUCAUAUAUUUCAGGCAAAGUGGAGAGAACUUUCUCCACGAUUCUUGCCUCAUCAAAGUACUCACCAAGGAGCCUUAUGCUGUUGACCACUGCCAUGAUUUUAUCUGCAUACUGCUUCACUAUUUCUUCUUCCCUCAUCUUCAGAUUCUCAAAGUCUCUUCUUAAACUCAACAGCUGUUGUUGCCUUGUUCUUUCUGUGCCUUGAAACUCCUCCUUAAGCUUGUCCCAGGCCUAUUUUGGAGUCUCACAGGCCAUAAUUCUGGUGAAGAUGACAUCUGACACACAGUUCUGAAUGCAGGACAUGGAUUUGUGCCUUUUGGUCCUCUCAUCAGCAUGUUGUCAGAUCUGAGCUACUGUGGGAUUGGCCCUCAGUGGUGCUGGCUUAACAUCUGUGUUGACAACUUCCCACAGAUCAAAGGCCUGCAGGUAAGUCUUCAUCUUUACUAGCCAUAUAUGGAAGCCUUCUCCAUUGAAGACUGGUGGGGCUGCUGGUGAAAAACUUGAGGAAGCCAUUCAGUUUUCUUGGUUUGAUACAACAGGUCCACUAAGAAUGCAACUUUGAUACCAAUUGUUGGUGUUUAAGGGUAGCAGCAAGCUAGUUUGCACUUGCUUGGACAGCAAGUGUCAAGCCUUGCUGAAGAAACUAUCGACGAAGAAGAAAUUUUUGUAAUGGAAAAAAGGAAAGAAAGAGAUGAUUUGAAUGAAAAUUGAGCUGAAUUUUUAUUAAUUUUCACAAGAGGCAUAAUGCCAAUACAUAUAUGAGAUAACAACAGCAAAACAAACAAGUUACCACCUAAUAACAUACCUAACACCACUAAUUUGCCUAGUAACUUGGUAAACUUGUUUGAACACAAAACAAGCCACCUAAACUUGUCAUUCAGCACCUAAUUACAUCAACAUGUAGCUACCAACUAAGUUCAAAACAAACUAAAAUACAAAGAGUUCAUUUGAGUAACUAAAUGAAACAAAGCAGUUUCGGUUUGCUGCUUGGAGCACGUUGCCUGCAUGGCCACCUUUGCUGUUGCAUGGGGGCUAACUUCAACAAGUUUACUGAAGCAACCAAACCAUGAUGGGAUUUCUCCAUUGAAGCUAUUAUUACCAAAGUCUAAAUAUUUCAUCCGACGCAAAUUAGUUAACUCAAUGGGUAAAGAGCCUUGGAAACUAUUUUGAUGAAUGUCGAGCCAAGCAAGGAAAGAUAGAUUUCCCAAUUGAGAAGAAAUGGUGCCCGUGAGAUCCAUGCUUGACAAAUUCAGAGCAGUGACUCUAUGGUGUCUAGAUCCACACGUGACACCAAUCCAGCUACAAACGGAGGUAGAAGUAGACCAAUUUGUUGCCAAGAAAUUGUGAGGAUCAUGAGUUAUAUGAGAUUUGAGUGCUAGAAGAGCAGAUUGAUCAAUGGUGAUGCUAGAAUAUUUUGCAAGCAAAAUAACCCCAACGGUUGCGAAUAGCAGUCCAAACAUAAACGGAGGGAGGAAGCUUGGUUUUGCCAUAAAGUUGGAUAUGGGUGUAAGGCACAUCAUAAGGAGAGAAACAACCGAGUUUAAUACUUUUCUAAUGUUAGUUCAAUAUUCUUUAAAUACUUUUGAUUCUAAAGACCAUUGACUCAUAGUUUGAGUAAGAAAUACAUACAAUCUUGUGGGUCCAACCAUGUUAUAGGGAAAAAAAGGAAAGCCAAAAUAGAAGAGUUAGUCUCAAGUUGAAGAGUAGAACUAAUAAUUCAACCGCAUUAACAAAGAUCAUCGUUUGGAUAUAUUAACAAAAUCCGAACUCGCAAUUAUAUCUACUUAUAUGAAGGAUUUAAUUGAAGACAAGUAUAACUUGUUAAAAUAUAAAAUUUCAUCAUUGGUUUUGAUUCUGUGGUGGUGUAUUGUAUGUAUCAGUUGGGGGUGGGUAUUCUUUAUUUUUAUUUUCAUAUAUUGGUGAGAAGCUCAUAUAUAUCCCUUGUGAUUGAACCAAAAAUUGGAAUAUUUUCUUAUUUCUGCCCUCUAUUAUUAUGGAUUCUUCUUUUAUAAGCAUUUUUUAUUUAGUAAUUAAAUUAGUUGAAAUUAAUUUUUUAUCAUUGAACCUUAACAACGGUUUGAAAUUUGAUCUAAGUGAUGACCAGAGUUUUUUUAUUGGUCUAAUAGUAAAUUUAGCCCUCUAAUAUUUAUAUAUUCUAUCAAUUUGAUCUUAAUAAUAGAAAAAUUCAACAAGUUUAGCUUUCAAUGUUUACAAAAUUUGUCAUUUUAGUUUAAAUUCUACAAUGUUCAAUAAAUUUAGCCCUUAAUAUUUACAAAAUGAUAAAAAAAAUUUGUCUCUUUUAACCCUUGAACUAACGUCGUUUGUCAAACCACCUUAAAAUAGAUGUUGACAUGGCAGUUCACAUGCAUGCUAUGUCAUCAAUUGUUUAAAAGAAUUAAAAAAUAUAUAGAAAGUUAUAUAAAAAUUCAAAAAAAAUAUAAAAGUGUUAAAAAUUCAAAUAUAUAUAAAUUAUUAAAAUUUCAAAAGGAAUAUAUAAAAUAUAAAAAUAGUAAAAAUAUUAUCAAGCUUACAUUUCUAAUAGGUAAAAGAGCUUUUCUAAGUUUUCACUUAAAUAAACAAAGCUCUGUUUUCUUCUAACCCUGGGAGCCGCUAUUACUAACAUUGACACUGGUGGCUCCUUCCAGUCACUAUCAAUGACAUUUCAAAUCUAAAAUCCUAAAAUAUCAACACCAGCACUAAUGGCAUAUUUCAAACAAGGUUGAGACAAGUUUUUCAAAUCCAAAAUCUAGAAAUAUCAAUUGACAAUGCUUUGAACCAACAUGCCAUUGGAUUCUUUUAUCUCUUUUUCCAUUAAUGCUCAAUUGGUUAUUAUAAAUGGCUUGAUUCAAAAAAGGUUGAAUGAGUUUUGUUGGAAUGAUUGAUUAUAGUAUUGUUUUUAUUUAGGUUGAAUCAGAUGGUUUAAAAUUUUUAAAGUGUUUGAUUUCUAUUUUUAGUGUUUUUGUUUUAGUGUUGUUUUUGAGAUUAAUGAGCAAAAAUUAAAACUGAGACUUAACUGUGUUGAUUAAUGUUAGGGAUAAAAGUUUUUGGUUUUUGUUCAAUUUUCUACUACUUUUAACUGAGAUUAAAACUAAAAAAAAAGUCAAUUUUCAUUCAUCAGUUUAUCCAAGAAAAAUGUUCUUAGUGUUUGAUUUCUAUUUUUAGUGUUUAAUUGAAUAAGUGGUUUUAAAAAAUUUCAAACAAAUUUUUUUUGUUCACUUUCAAUUUUCAUUCAGGCUUGAAUUUUGCUUUUUAUUUUAUUUUUUAUUUUUGUUGUGCAUUGAUGAAGUUUUUAGAGGCUAUGGGUAUAUUAAACAAAGAAAAAAAUGGUGUUAAUAAUUAAAAAGAAUUAAAACUUAUAAAAUAAUUAAGAAAAUAAAUAAAAACAGGAAAAAAAAUUAGUGAAGUAGCCGUAAAGGUAGAAUGGGAAGGCGGUGUUGGUGAAUGUGGUAUGAUGAGUCGCAGUUGGUUGGAUGGUGAUUUUCAUGCGUUGAGCCAUUAUAUUGGGUUGGUUUUCACACUUUCUUCUAUUUAAACAUGAAUUUUUAAAGAAUGACCAACUUUUUAGACCAUUAAUUUCACACAAGAAAAGUCAUUUGAAGGCUGCAAUAGCAGCACCAUUAUUCACGUUUGGGCGAAACAUUGAAUUAUUUUUCAUCCCCUCCAUUGCUUCCACCCUCUAUCCUUCUCUACUUUUUGCAUAUUUGAAAUCACAUUCUUAAUUUUAAUAAUAUGUAAACCAUAAAUAAAUUAUUUUAUCAAUAAUCAUAAUAUCCAAUGCUUAAACUAAUUUAGUUUAUUUGCUCUGAGAAAUAUCUAGAGACUAGAAUGUUCCCCAUUUUCUGUCAAUCAAGAAAGAAUAUUUGAAUACAUAAGAUUUUAAUAAUGUAUAUUGUUUCAUAGAUGCAUGCAUUUGCAUUUAGGAAACCCAAAGCAGAACAUCAUACCAAUCACAAACCCAACAUCAAAGCAAAAAACAGAAUAGUAAACAAAUCUUCAGCAUGCCAUCACCCUCCCAUGCUUUAGCAAUAGUAAACACAAUUUUUAAACUACUUUCUAAGUCUCAUUUUAAAAUAUUUAACUCUAAUCUUUUAACAACUAUUUUUUCAUUUUAAUAUUAGUUCAAAAUUUUUUUAUUAAAAAACUAUUUUAAUAUUUUUAGAGCUUGUUAACUUAUUUUUAUAAAUUUUGUAAAAUUAAUCUAUGGAUUUUGUAAAACAAAUUGAUGGAGCUUUGGGUUUAGUUGGUAUCAAAUGAUGAAGAGAAAAUUGAAUUUUAAAGUCCCAAAAUACUAAAUAGCAAGACAGCUAUUUUUUUCGUCAGCCAAUAAACAUAUUUAUUUGAAAAUAAAGACAAAAUAUUGCCAAAAAAAGUUGCAAAACCCAAACAAAAGAACAAAUCACCUAGGCAAAUACAAAGGACAAAUCACCAAACCAAAGCUCCACAACACCAAAACAUGAUGACUUGUAAACUUCUCAUAACACACACAAAAAAAAAAAGAAACUCAACCACCAUUUGAAGCCUAUGAAAUUUUCUUUUUAGAAAAAGAAAAAGAAAAUCUCAAAUCUAACAAGUAUUAAAUUUUACUAUCAAAAUAGUAGAAUAUUGUCUUCCAUGUAUAGCUUUAAAUUUAAGUUAUUUGUGAUGUAUACUCAAGUAAAUAAUAAUGUGAUUUCAAAUCAGUUAAAUAAAUUUAGGGUAAUUUACACCAACAGUCACUCAACUUUGGGAUAGUUGACAAAACAACCACUUAGGUUUCAAUUCAGUCACUUAACUUUCAAAAAUAACAAAGUAGUCAUUUUAACCAUUUUCUGUUAUAGACGUAAUGAAAAAGUGACAUGACAAAUGACGGAUUCCUUGUUGUCAUUAACCAACUAGCUGAUCGGUUAGCACCAAUUUAAACAGCCCAUUUAGCACUAAUUUAGAGUUUAGGCAGUAGAAUAAGAAGAGGAGGAGGAGGAAGAGGAGGAGAGAAAAAAUGGAGAUGUCGACUGUGACUCCGGUGUGCUAUUGUAGAAACCUAGCAAAAUUAAACACGUCUUGGUCUAAUGACAACCCAGGUAGGAGGUUUUUUGGGUGUAAGAAGUUUGGGAGUGGGUUUCAAAAACCAUGUUAUUUUUUCACCUGGAUUGAUCCACCAUUGAUGCCCCCCGUUCACGAAUUUUGUUGUUGGGUCUUCUAAAAAAGUGAGGACAUUGGAGGAUGCAAGGAGGAGGGAGAGAAAAACAUGAGUUUUGGUGCUUGUACUUGUAAUAUUGUUGUUAUUUUUUAAACCCUAAACCAGUUUAUGUGAUAGCUGAUGUUGUUGUUGUUGUUAACACUGAAAACCAACUUAUGUGGCUGUUGGUAUCCUGUUUUGUUAUCCAUUCAUGGUUAGUGGAAGCUAGGGGUCCUAAAUGUAAUGGUUUGUAAAGGGUAGAAGUUUGCUUAUGGACUUGAAAGUUGAAAGACUAAUUGUAAUGGGAGAGUAUUUGGUUGUUGUAAUGGUCUGGUAUUCUCACAUAUUUGUAUUUUAUUUCAUUUGAUUUUCUGAAUGUUUAAUCUUCUUUUAAAACUUUAAAGAGUAUUUAGUUAUUGUUUUUUAUUUUCUUACAUUACAUGGAUCAAUGCUUAUAUGUUAGAAGAGAUAAAAUAGAUGGAAAAAAGACAGAAACACAUUAGUCAGCAUUAAACUUCUUUCAUAUAUUAAGGCCAAACUGUUUACAAAAGGAAGGGCAAACUAUUGCCAAAUUCACCUACAAUUCAACAUAUUUGAAUUGUAGGCAACUUUACAAAAUAUUUCAGUGGCUAUAUGCCUAAGUUUAGAAAACAGUAGCAAUCAUAGGCAAAUUUACAAAAAAAAUAAUCUGCCUAAUCUAAGAAAUUAGUUGGUGUGUCGUUGAAAGCACCAAAUAGAUCCUAACCCUAAAUAACAAAAAGAAAUAGUAUAAGGGGAGUAGGGUCAAAUCCUUUAGGACUGGAUCGGUACAGCUUCUUGUUCCUCAAAAUCCUGGGCAUAGUCGUGCCCAAGAAAAAUGUCUAACCUGGAAAAUUUAAAAAAAUAUAUAUAAUUAAGAAUAUGGACGAGUUGAAAUUAAAUAAAUUGAAACUGUACUUGUGAAAAGAAGUAUAAUUAAGAAAAAGGGAUUUUUCAAUUGAGGGAUUCUAACCUUUGGUUAUCUCGAUCCUCCUUUGGUUCAAUCAUAGGCUUUUAGGUGAUCAUUCUCAUGACUGAAUAGGCUUGUUAUAGUGGAAGAAGACACCUAUGACCACCAGUUCCACUUAGGUUAUAGCCUUACGAUUUAGAGGAACCUGACUCUAGCCAACCGUCACUUUCGUGGGACCGUCUUACACUAGAUCAUCGUUUCUCAAUGGCGAAUUCGUCUCUUAGGCUAGACAACCUCUGAUGCAGUAAGUUAGUGAACCAACUGUGAAUCUUCCCAAAACAUACAAAGCGCCCACCUUAGCACAAGAUAAAAAUAUUACUUUUAGAAGGACAUGAAUGGAAGCGUUAGUCCCAUAAUGCAGAGAAAUGAUGAAUACUCGUUGAGAAGGGUUAAGUACGAGUUCUAAGCCUAAUGAACUCUUUUUGAGGAAUCUUUAUAACAUUUGGCUAGACAAGUUUAAUGACUCAUGCUUUUUGGGAAAAAACACAAGUUUUAAUGAAAUAAAAUUUUAUUGAAAAAGAAACAAAAAGGCUAAGAGCCUUAGGGGGAAAGAGUUUUUUACAAAAGUGUUGAGUGAAUAUUCAUGUCACUCCAUCCCCUAUUUAUAGUACAUAAAAAAUCUAGUUUGUUACUAUUUAAACUCUAUAUGAUAAUAUUUAAGAGAUAUAAUUUGAAAUUAAAUCUAAACAAUAUAACAAUUCUAACAAUAAUCCUAAAAAUAAAAUUAAAUUUAAACAAAGUCUUAUGUUCAUAAAUCUCUUCUUCGAAAUUUUACCCCAAGUCUUCUACACUUUGUAUUUUCGGCACUACUUCUUCCCUAUUUUGCAUGCUGACCCGUUUUGUAUUUAAAUUCACGCUUUUUGUCCCUAAAUUUCUUUUUACCUUCAAUUUAGUCCCUACAAGAUAAAAAACCAUAAACAACCAAAAUUAGUAGGAUCAUACUCAAUAUAUAUAUGUAAUUAACACAUAAAAGUAUGUCAUUUUUUAGUAUUAUCACUAGUAGUAGGUAUAGGUCUAGACAAAUUUAGGCAAGUUCAAGAAGUUGACAAAAUAACGUCCUGUUCCCAAUGUCAUCAUUAGUUUGUCAUGGAUGACUCUUGAGUAGAAGGUAUCCAUCUAAAAGUGGUUGGUUUCCUCUUGAAUGGAAGAUUUCCUCUUGGAGCAACAUCUUUUUGGUGAGUUGGGGCAACCUCCUUCUGAGUUGGGGUAGUUUCUUGUUGAUUUGGGGCAACCACUUGGUUGUGAACACCAAAUUUGUGUCUUUUUACCUACAAGAAUAAGUGAAAUCCAUAAAAAAAUUUGCAUUUAUAAGUAAUAUAAUGGAACAAAAGCAAAUGACUUACUAGAAGUUUUUGCUAACUUCUUCUUUGCAACUCCUCUUAUUGUGGCCUUUUUUGUUGCAUUUACUGCACCUCAUUUCCACCCCUCUCUUGGUCAACCUUUCUAUUUCUUGUGGUUCAUCAGAUUCUUUCCUUCUCACCUUAGUAGGUCUGUCAGGUGACUUUCUCAAUGUAGGAGGCAGUAUUGAUAGCAUGUUUGGCAUAGAUGAAGUUGGAGUAAAUGGCAAGCUGGGUUUAUGAAGUUGGAGUAAAUGGCAAGCUGGGUUUGCUUGGUGUACCAAGUUUGUACAUAAUUUUUUGGGAACUCAUCUUUUAGAUGAAUGACACCCACUCCAUGUAUGCAAGGGGUGCCAAUGAGAUCCCAAUUCCUGCAGGAGCAAGAAUUCUCAACUAGGUCCACCACAUGCUGACCACUUGGAUCACAUUCAACCUGAUACCUAUCCCCAAAAACAUGUGAUGGAACACACCUAAAAAAUAAUCACUAUAAUAAUAUUAAAAACAUGUGAUCGCCCCACCAACAAUCAUACAUAAGGCAUAAAUAUAUUAAAAAUGCCAGAAUAAAGACAUACAUGUAUUUGUCCAACAACAUGUGAUCAACCCCACUAGCUAUCAUACAUAGGCAGAAUAAAGACAUCAGUAUAUUAAAAAAAUUAUCUAUUUACCUCAGUGAAUCUUUGAUAUUGACAUCUAGCUUUUUCUUGAUCUUUGGACACAAGAUUCUUUUAAUUUUUUCAGCUUUUUAUUUAUUCUUGACAAUCAACAACAUAAUCUUGGUCUUAAUUGUUUCCAUCAUGGUCAGGAUAGAUUUCCCUCUUGCUUUCAAUAUCACCUGCCAGUAAGUAACAUAAAAGAUUAGUGAAUUACAUGUCCUUAAUGAUUAGUAACAUAAAAAAAAUAGGGGUUUACCUUGUUAAAGCAUUCAGAAAAAUUAUUCACCACCAUGUCAGACUGGCUCCUAAUUGAGAAGUGGGACCUUGACCAGUGAGUAGGGUUCUUUUCUUUCAACCAAUCAUAAGCAUGUUGAUUGGUAUUCUUCAGUUCAGCCAUGACAUCCUCAAAAUCCCUUGGAGUGCUUGCUCUGACAGCUUUCCAAAGCAAAUCUUUCAAUUUCUUUGUUAGGAAACCAACUUUCUUGAAAUUUGAAUGUAGAUGUCUAACACAGUGUCUUGUUUCUACAUUAGGAAACAACAUAUAUAUUUCUUCUAAAAAUCCUGCAAAUAGAAGAAAAAUAGUUUAAUUUUUUGACAUAUCAUAAACCCUAAAUAGAAACAACAUAAAACAAGUAGACAAAUCAACUAGUAUUACCUUUUGUUUGUAAGAUAUGAAAGAUAUCUAGUAUGAGCUCACAAUUUCCAGGUCUAAUGCGAGGAACUCUAAGAACUAGAGCCAUGAUGCUUAGUUUUCACUUUAAAUAGCAGCAUAUGCAAUAGGAUGGAUGUCAUUAUUUGCAUCUAUCCCAAUAGCUGCCAGUAGGUAGCCACCAAAGUAGCCCUUCAAGAAACAUCAAUCUAAACCUAUUAUCCUCCUACAAAAAACCCUAUAGCCAUCUUUGCAUACCUGCAGACAGACAGACAGGCAUUCUUUGAAACAACCUGUUAUCUAGAUAACAGAUUGUUGUUGUUCCCUCAUUCUGGGUCUUAACCUCCAACAAAUAUUCAUAAAUCUUCUCAUAUUGUGCCUUAUGAGCUCCUUCAAUUAAUUCAAAUGCCCUAAGUUUAGCCCUCCUACAUUUGGUUAGUGAGACAAGUCAAAGGAAAUCUUUUUUCACAUCUUGUUGCAAUGAUGUCAAAGAAUAAUCAGGAUUAACAAUGAACUAUUCUUUAUAAUGUUUACCUAUCCAAGAUGAGGUUACAUUUUUAUUUUUAUAGACUUGAGAGCAAAUAAUGUUUACCCUAUUAGACACAUCACUAUCAUAUACAUCCCUAACAGACACAUCAAAAUUAGAUAUUUCUUCUUCAAUCUCAUUAAAAUUAUCAUAAAUUAAAAAUGCCAAACAAAUUUAACAUCAAUAAAGGAAGACAACAACCAAACAAUUUAAUACAACAUGACAGACAAUAACCAAUACAAUAUAAAAGCUAAAGAACAAAUUUAAUCCAAUUCAUAUUUGAAACUAGGAAUAGAUUUCUCUCUUUAUAACCAAACAAUAACAAAACUUGAUACCGUUACUCAUAAAAAUAGUAAAAGAUUUGUCUCUUUCCUAAGGCAAUUAGUAUGCAAAUGACAGACAAUAAGUUACAAAAAUCCAAACAUGCAAUUCAGAUUGAUACAAACAAUAAACAUAUUUUCCAGGUACAUUUAAAAUACUCAUAAAUCAUAUUUGAAUAGAUAAAUCAGUUUGAUACAAACAAUAAACAUGACAUACAUAGUAUCAUGCACAUGGAAAACCAUACACAAUAUCUACCAUUCACUUUAAUAACCAGACCUAAACCCCAUGUGAAUAACAAAUGAAAUCAAAAUUUGUCAUGGACUUUAAUAACAAAUGAAACCAAAAUUUGGCAUAAACCCCAUGUGAAUGCAACAUUUUUCAAAUUUUAAAUCUAGACAACCCUAAAUUGAAAUAACCCUAAAUGCAAAAAAUAAAAAAACCAAAUACAGAAACUUACCCAUUACAGUGGAUGUAACAACAUUGGCAACUUCUUUUCUAUUAACCAAUGUGGCUAAAAACCAAAAACACCGAUAACUUCCCCCUUUUGUCUUCUUUUCUCCCCAAACAAAAAAAAACCAAUUGAUUUCUAAUCCUAAACCCUAUUAAUCAAUUUCCUAAUGGAUUUUCUAACCUUAAACCAACCUUGUUAAUCAAUUCUCCAAUCGAUUUCUAACCUAGAACCCUGUUAAUCGAUUUUCUUUUCCUCCUCCCCUUAAUCACAAUCAAUUUUUUUACCCUAAACCCAUCUAUUAAGCUUUUUCCCUAAACUCGAGUCAAACCCUGACCCUUCCAAUGCUUCACCAAUGUGCAAGUUAAUUGGCCACAUCAGCUAGUUAACUUGCCACAUCAACGGUCCUAUUAAGACAGUAAUGGAAAAUGUUAAUAAGUGACGUAUUUGCACUUUUGAUAACGUUAGUGGCUGAUUUGUUAUUUUUCAAAAAUUGUGUGACAAAAUUGAAACCUGAGUAGUGACUGUUUUGUCAGCUACCCCCAAGUUGAGUGAUUGUUGGUGUAAUUUACCCAUAAAUUUAUAAGUACUUGUGGUUUUAUAUUCAAAUUGAAUCUUUUCGUUAAUUGUAAUUUUCAAAGACGAAAAUUUACGUAGGGUCGCUUUUACAAAUAAAACAUGAACUAUUCUUUCAUAAAAACACUUGUAUAGUAUGAAAAGGACAUGAUUCUCAAUUGUAUAAGUCAAGGUCUUUUAUAAUUCGUAUUAAUGCAUUGUUUAAUAUCAACAAGGAAUCUUUAGCCCCUUCUUUCUAUCUAUGUCUUCCUCCCAUUUUCCUUUGAUGUGAUGGAUUAAACUAUGUAGAGUAACCAAUAAUUAUACCAAAUUCUAUUAAUUUUUUUUGUAUAUUUGAAAUCAAAUUCUCAAUUUUAAUAAUAUGUAAAACAUCAAUAAAUAAUUUCAACUUAAAACAUAUUUCAAUGAAAACGUGUUUGAUGGAGAUCCUCAACAUAUUCUUCCAUUAACCGCAUUGAAAGAAUGACCACUUUUUCCUUCAUUGGUGUUUUUCAUGCGUUGAGCCAUUAUUAAUCUCCCUCAUAUUGGGUUGCCUUUUACACUUUCUUCCAUUCAAACAUGAAUUUGUAAAGUGGCCUCCUUUUUCACCAUCAAUUUCACACAAGCUUUCCACAAGAAAUCUUAUUUUAAGACUGCAUUAUUCACGUUUGGGCCAAACACAGAAUUAUUUUUCAUCUCUCCAUUGCUUCCACCCUCUAUCCUUUUCAACUUUUUACCCUUACUUUCCAUUUUCAUUAUUCAUUGUUUUAUUUAAUAAAAUGAUAUAAUACCUGUUAAGUUGUUCUUAAAAAAAUUAAUGAACGCGAGAUAAAUAAAAUUUAUCAACAUUUAGUUAUAGUGUUUAAAUAUAUUUAUAUUUAUAUUUAAUUAUAUGUGUUUGAAGAUAAAAUUGAUAUAAUUUGUAAAUAUGGAGGGUUAAAUUUAUUGAAUCAUUUUGAAUUAGAAUUAAAUUGAUAGAAUAUAUAAGUAUUGAGGAAUAAAUGUAUUAUUAUAGCAGUUAGAAAAGGCAACAUCAUUGUUAACUAUUUAACGAAGAGUGACCAAAAUAGAAAUAAUCUAAAAUGUGAGAAAACAAAAUAGAAAUGAUUUAAAAUGUUAGUGACUAAAUUAAAAAUUUUCAUAGUUAGGUGACCAAUUCUAUAGUUUACCCUAGAUAGUAGAAGCAAUUAGGAUUAAUUCCACCAAGCAUCUCAAACUAUUACUCAGAUUUUAAAUUGCACCCUAAACUUGUAUACAUUCUAAUUGAAUCCUCAAAGUAUCAAUAUUGUAUCAACCAGGCCCUUCUGCCAAUUUAGCUAUCAAUUUGAGCAUUAAAUGUCAGUUUGGAUAUGAUGUAAAACAUAUUUAAAACACGUGGUUGAAAUUGUAAAUAUGUAUGUAUUUAUCGCAAGGAUAACUAGGAUAUCACAUAUUUAAAAAACAACGGCAAUAACAUUUAAGAAUCUUUUUCAUUUUCUAAAUAUAUGUUUAGCAUGUUAGAUUCAAGUAGUUUAUGGAAUAGAUGCAAACAUAUUUACAAUUUGAUCUACAUUUGUGCUUUUAAAUAUACUAUAUGUUAGAUUUAAAAGUGUUCAUUGGUUGGGCUUGGAUUUAAGUUUUUAACCUUGGACCAGCCCGACCAGGCUCAUUUUAUUAUUAAAAAAUAAAAAUAAUUUUAUAUUAAUAUAUUUUCAUAAUUAAAUUUGAAUAAUUUUACUAUCUUUUAAUUAGUGUAAUGGGCUAUUUGGCCAAGCCGAACCCUAGCCUAGAAUUUUUUUUGAAACCGAGCCUAUGCUAGAUUUAAUCUAUGAACACUUCUAAUUAGAUUCACUUAUUAUUUUUAAAUUAACAAUUAAACUGACAAAAAGACUUAACUAAUAAGAUUUUAAGAUUCAAUUACAUGGUUUCAAAAAUUUAACAUACGAAGUUACAACAAAAAGUUAAACUUUGCGUACAACUAUGUUGUUAGCUUGAUUGAUUUCUUACUACUUAUUAAUAUCUUUUGUUACUUAACAAAUUUGACUUGAAGAUAUUUAUAGCUAUUUCAAAUACUGGAUUUCCGUGCAUUUAUUUUUAUACUUUACAUUGGAUUAAUUAUAUAUUUUGAGAAAAUAUAAUAUUUGAUGCAUUAAACGUAACUAUUAUAAAUAAAUAUUAAUAACUUUCGGAUUUAAGAUGUUGAGUUUAAAGUUUAGGGUUUAGCAUUUAUUUAUAGAUAAUUAUGUAAUAAAAUUAUUAGUAUUUUUAUAAGUUUUUCACUAAUUUUUUGUUUUAUUUAAUAAUGAUGUAUUAUGUUAUUAUUCACUAAGAGUGCGAAUAACUUAUGCACCAAUAAUACAUCAAAUAUUCUCGAAAAUUAAAUUUAUAUGAGAAAUCCUAUUAUAACAAUUUGUAAACAAAAAGUUGUCUAAAAUUUUCCACUACUAAUUUUAGAAAUAAUUUCUGAAUAUAUUUUUCCACUACUAAUUUUGCAUUAUUUUACCUCCUUAUUGAAAUUUUUUGGGUUUUCUUUUUUUACUAAGCCAUAUCAAUUUUAUUAAAAAGAUAGAAAGACAAACUUUACAAACCAGUGCAGCUAGCAAAAACACAUCAGGGAACAUUGCCGUGAGAGAGUGUUGAAAAAAAAAGGCUGCUGCUAAAAAAAACAGAACAAAGAACUGCAACGGAAGCAAUGGGAAUUUAGAGAAAUUGAUAACAGUGAUGCAAAACACUUUAUUCCAUGAAGAGUUUAAAUACUGAAAUAGCUAACAACUUAGAGAUAUAUUAGGACUCUAAUAGAAUCUUGAUACAUCUCCUAAAUAAAAGGAACACUACUGGAAUUAAAAAAACAGACUUACAACAGACUUUGACUGACUCAACGUCUAAAUUAUUCAAUCAGUAAAUAAUUUCUACAUUACCCAUUAACACUCCCCCUUAAGGUAGAAACUCUCCAACACCCAACAAUUCUCUCAAAUAAAUGAACUUCUUCGGUGGAAGUGGCUUUGUGAACAAAUCAGCAACUUGUUCUUCAGUGCAACAGUGCUCCAACUUGAUAUCUCCCUUUGCAACCAGCUCUAUUAUGAAAUGAUGACGUGUUUCAAUGUGCCUUGUUCUACUGUGAUAAACAGGGUUUUUUGUCAUUGCAAUUGUUGACUGAUUAUCACAAUAGAUGGUAGUUGCCUCCACUUGUGUUUGCUUUAAAUCACCAAGAAUUCUUCGUAUCCAGACAGCUUGACACGCAGCAGUAGUAACAGCCAUAUAUUCAGCCUCCGACGAUGAUAAUGCAGUUGCUGGUUGCUUCUUUGAGCUCCAUGAAACAGCUCCGCUACCCAUAGUAAAAACGUAACCAGUUGUACUCUUGCGAUCUUCAAUGCAACCACCCAAAUCACUAUCUGAAAAACCAUACAGUCUUUGAUUGUUAGAGAAUUUAUACCAUAUUCCAAAUGAGCUUGUCCCCUUCAAAUAGCGCCAGAUUCGCUUGGCAGCUCCAAAGUGAUGCUUGCUUGGACUCUGCAUAUAUCUAGACAAGAGACUUGUUGCUUGCAAAAUAUCAGGUCUACUAUUUGUUAGAUACAACAGACUCCCAAUCAAACUUCGAAACAAUUGACAAUCAAUUUUCUCUCCCCCAUCAUCUAAGCAAAAUUUUUGAUUGGUGCACAUUGGAGUACUCAUGAGAUUGCAGUCCUUCAAGUUGAACUUUUCAAGGAGAUCAUUCACAUAUUUUUCUUGAGACAUAAAAAUACCCUCUGCACAUUGUUUAAUUUCAAGCCCCAGAAAGAAACUUAUCAACCCCAAAUCAGUCAUUUCAAAUUCGUCUGUCAUCAGCUUUUUAAACUCAUUCAACAAAGCACUACUAUUGCUAGUAUAAAUCAAAUCAUCAACAUAAAGGCAAAUAAUGAGAAUUUCAGAAGUACCUCUACUUUUCACAUAUAGAUUUGGCUCACUGGGACUUCUUUGAAAACCAUUAUUGCUGAAAUGUCCAUCAAUUCUUCCAUACCAGGCUCGCGGCGCUUGCUUUAAGCCAUAUAGAGCCUUUUUCAACCUAUACACUUUCUCUUCUUAAUUUGUAAGCUCAUAACCUUUUGGUUGCUGCACAUAUACUUCUUCUUCUAAGAUCCCAUUUAAAAAGGCCGACUUGACAUCGAACUGAUAAAUUUCCCAACUUAAUUGAGCUGCAAUUGACAAAAUAACACGUAUGGUGUCAAAUCUUGCUACCGGAGAGAAAGUUUCUUGGAAAUCUAACCCUUCACGCUGCAUGUACCCUCGUGCUACCAGUCUUGCUUUAUGCUUUUGAAUGGAACCAUCAGCCAGGAAUUUAGUUUUGAAAAUCCAUUUUAACCCAACAGCUUCUUUUCCAUUUGGAAGAUCUACUAAUUCCCACGUCUUGUUCCUUUCCAAGGCUUUCAUUUCAUCAUCCAUUGCAUCUCGCCAUUCCUUGGAUUUGAUUGCUUGUUCAAAGACAAUUGGAUCUUCAAUUUGGGCGAAUUGGCAUUGUUCAGUGCUUGCAUAAAUUUCUGCCAAUGAUCUCCAUUUUCUAGGUGGUGAUUCUGAUAAAGAAGAGCUUGAUGAAGUGGUAUUUGGAAUUACUGAAGGACUGUUUGGUGCUGAUGAGCAAGAACUUCCAUCUUCAUUUUCUUGACUCGGAUGAGUGUCGAGACAUUCACCAACUUCAAGUAAUGCUUUUGAACCUGCUUGUAAUUCUUUCCAAUUCCAAGAGCUUUUCUCAUCAAAAACAACAUCACGACUAAUUAAUAGCUUCUUAGAUAAAGGAUUAUACAAUCGAUAUCCUUUAGUUUCAUAACUAUACCCAACAAAGAUACAUUUAGUGCUAUUAUCAUCUAACUUUCCUCUCUUUUGAGAUGGAAUAUGCCCAAAUGCAAUGCAACCAAAAAUUCUCAUAUGAGUUACCUCAGGUUUCCACCCAUUUCAAGCUUCAAAUGGUGUUUUUUGUUCUAGAGCUGCUGUUGGAGAUCGGUUGAGGAUGUACACUGCUGUGUGAACGGCUUCUGCCCAGAAACUUUUUGGAAGAUUUUUAGCUUUAAGUAAGCAUUUUCCCAUCUCAACAAGACUUCGAUUCUUCCUCUCAGCGACUCCAUUUUGUUGAGGACUGUAGCUUGCUGUUAGCUGGCGUUGAAUGCCAGAUUCUUCACAGAAUUUGUUGAAUUCAGUAGAAAGAAAUUCUCCACCACGAUCUGUCUGCAAGGUCUUUAUAGGCUGGCCACUUUGUUUCUCAAUACUUACUUUAAACUUCUUGAAAACUGAAAGAGCCUCUGAUUUUUCUUUGACAAAGUACACCCAUGUCAUUCUACUAUAGUCAUCAACAAAGACUAAAAAGUACCUGUUGUUAUUGAGAGAAAGUGUUCUCAUCGGCCCGCAAAGAUCAACAUGAAUAAGUUCAGCAAGUUGGGAAGCUCUCCUUGCCUUGCCCUUUGGAAAUGAAUCUCGAUGUUGUUUCCCAAAUAUACAGCUCUCACACACAUCACCAAUAUUUUUUAUUAGAGGUAAACCAUCAACUAAAUUCUUUUCAGACAUGAGUUUUAAACUACCAAAAUUUAAGUGCCCAUAUCUGUGAUGCCACAACCAAUUUUCAUCAAAUGAUUCCGCCUUCAAAGCAAGCUUUUCAUCAAUUGUGAGAUUAUAAGGAAAAAUCUUAUUUUUUGCCAUUGGAACACUCGCUAACAGGUGCUUUUUCGAUUUAUCCUUAAAAAUGCAGCAAUUGAAUUCCUCAAAGACAAGUGAAUACCCAUCCACCAUAAAUUGCCCAACACUUAGCAAAUUAGAAUCCAAGUCUGGAACAUACAAAACAUUAUGAACGCAAUUAAGACCUAGGGAAUUCAUCUGUACCGUACCUUUUCCCUUUGCUACACGAACAGUUCCAUCACCAAGCGUUAUUCGGCUAGUUACUAACUUAUCUAAGUUGCUGAAGAGACUUAAUUCACUCGUCAUAUGAUUGCUACAACCACUAUCUAUGUACCAAACCUCAGGAGAACACUUCUUAGCACUAAAGCAUGCAACGAACAGGCUCUUUGUCUCAUCUUCUUCACUAUCUUCAUGAGCCAAGUUAGCCUGCUUCUCUUUAAGCUUGCAAAACCUCUCAAUGUGCCCGAACCUUUUGCAAUAGUAGCAUUGUUUUGGACUACUAUUUUCUCCUUUAUCGUCAUCUCUAUACCGUUGGUUCUGUCCAUUGAAUCGUCCACCAGCCCUACCUCUUCUUCUCCCACGAGAUGAAUUUCCUCCACGCCAGUCAUUGAAGUUUCUUUCGUUGGUGCCCUUUCCACCACGAGAGUAUUGCGACCUACUAUAAAAGGCAUUCUCAACAGACACAUUAUCAUACCUUUUAAUCCUAUCAUCAUGAGAAUAAAGAGAGCCUUGCAACUCAUCAAUUGUUAACACACUCAAAUCUUUUGAUUCUUCUAUAGCUGCAACAACAUGAUCAUAUUUCCUCGGUAAACUCCUAAGAAUCUUCUCAACUACCCUUUGCUCACUUAAAUCCUCACCAUAUUUUUGAAUUUGAUUCACAACAUCAAUUAUUUUUGACACAUAAUCAUCCAGAACAUCAUCAUCUUCCAUAAUAAAAUUAUCAAACUUCCUACGUAGAGUUUGAAGUUUGACAGUCAUCACCUUUGCAGUACCUUGAUAUGCCGUUCGCAGCGUGUCCCAUGCUUCUUUCGAACGCGUCACCGCUUCAAUGCGAGGAAAAAUUGAUUCAUCUACAGCUUGUUGGAUAAAAAACAAAGCUUUAGCAUCCCUCUUUCUUAUAUCUUUGAGAGUCUCAACUGCUGCCUCCUCUUCAUCGUAUCCAUUUUCCACCAAGUCCCAUAGGUCUUGGGACAAAAACAAAGUCUUCAUCUUAGUGCUCCAAACUCCAUAGUUGCUGCCUUGAAAAAUUGGAACCAACGGUUGUGAGAGGUUCACUCCAUUCUGAUUGCUUGCCAUCAUAAGUUUGAACACAGGCCUCGAGUAGCUCGGAUACCAGAUGUUGAAAAAAAAAGGCUGCUGCUAAAAAAACAGAACAAAGAACUGCAACGGAAGCAAUGGGAAUUUAGAGAAAUUGAUAACAGUGAUGCAAAACACUUUAUUCCAUGAAGAGUUUAAAUACUGAAAUAGCUAACAACUUAGAGAUAUAUUAGGACUCUAAUAGAAUCUUGAUACAUCUCCUAAAUAAAAGGAACACUACUGGAAUUAAAAAAAUAGACUUACAACAGACUUUGACUGACUCAACGUCUAAAUUAUUCAAUCAGUAAAUAAUUUCUACAUUACCCAUUAACAGAGAGGACCUAAGAAAACAUAAUACAUACUACAUAACAUACAAUCAAGCACCCACACAAAAUAUAUAUUAAACUGCUACAGAAAAAGGCCUGCAUACCACCAAGCUACGAAGUUUUCUGUUCUGUUUGCAACUUGUUGACCUCGCCAAAGAGUUGCCUUCUCUACCUUUUUGCAAAUCUUUUUCGAACUCGCUCGACGAUCUUGAUUAACCACCAUGGAUUUCCUGUCGUAAAUGCAAUGUACCCCAUGCUCAUUCCCAGAACCAACCCACAUCCAUACCCCAUCAAUAUAGAAAAUUUCCAAUUCAAUUCAUCACCAUCAACAUCAUCUCUAUCAAAUUUGGCUGGAGUUUCCUCAUCAGUAUCACAGCUUUUUGAUAAUGGUAAACCACAUAAAUCCAGAUUUCCAAUGUAGGAAUCAUUAGUGAAAGUAUCAAAUUGUUUGCCUCGAGGAAUGGGUCCCUUGAGAUUAUUUUGAGAAAGGUUUAACACCUUUAAGAAUCCAAGAUUUUUUAACUCUGUCAGACUUCUUCCUUCGAGUUUGUUUGUUGAGAGAUCUAAUGAUUCAAGCUCUGACUAAUGACCUAAAGAUGAUGGGAUAGGACCUAUUAAACAGUUAUGGGAGAGGUUUAGGACAAUAAGUAAAUGAAGCUCACCAAGUAUUUUUGGAAUUUCUCCUUAGAAUUGAUUACUAGAAAGGUCAAUAAUCGUCCAAAUGGAUAAUAGUGAUUCAAACUCUGUUUCCAACCCUUUUGUUGUAAAAGAUAAAGC